AUAAUGUAGUGUAUUACGUUACCACAAGUGCGUAAUGGACGGGAACAGUUACCGCAAGAAGAUUGUAAAAAUCUUCCCACGAAAUGACAAUGCAAGUUUAAACGUUCCUCUCUGGACAUAUAUAAGGGAGAGCACAACUCUUACAUGAUUCAUUCAUAGGCCUCCGUGCCUUACAUGAUUCAUUCAAUGGGCCUCAGCGCCUCAGUUACAUUAUUCAUAGGCCUCAGCGCCUUACGUGAAUAUCGUUUUGGAAAAGCUAUUAGAUUGCAUGUUAAGGAAAUAUUGUUACAAGUUAUAUACGAAAGAGUAUUGAAGUUAAAAAGCGACGUUACGUGAAGAAGACGAAAGAGUUGUGCUCAGUCAGACAGAAAAGAGAUAAGUUGAACUGAUAUAGUUUUAAUUAUAUAGUAAUUGGAUAUAGUAU